GGUAAUAACCCAGCUCAAUCGGUAGGGCAUGAGACUCUUAAUCUCAGGGUUGUGGGUUCGAAUAGAUGACCCUUGUGGUCCU